AUUGAACGCUGGCGGCAUGCUUUACACAUGCAAGUCGAACGGUAACAGGGAGCUUGCUCCGCUGACGAGUGGCGAACGGGUGAGUAAUGCGUCGGAACGUGCCGAGUAGUGGGGGAUAACGCAUCGAAAGGUGUGCUAAUACCGCAUACGUACUGAGGUAGAAAGUUGGGGGACCUUCGGGCCUCACGCUAUUCGAGCGGCCGACGUCUGAUUAGCUAGUUGGUGAGGUAAAAGGCUCACCAAGGCGACGAUCAGUAGCGGGUCUGAGAGGAUGAUCCGCCACACUGGGACUGAGACACGGCCCAGACUCCUACGGGAGGCAGCAGUGGGGAAUUUUGGACAAUGGGCGCAAGCCUGAUCCAGCCAUGCCGCGUGUCUGAAGAAGGCCUCGGUUGUAAGG
rnacentral:rRNA from 1 species